rnacentral:piRNA from 1 species
UGGUGGCUCCUGUGCCUGACUCACCCGCU